UACAGAGGGUGCAAGCGUUAAUCGGAAUUACUGGGCGUAAAGCGCGCGUAGGUGGUUCGUUAAGUUGGAUGUGAAAUCCCCGGGCUCAACCUGGGAACUGCAUCCAAAACUGGCGAGCUAGAGUAUGGUAGAGGGUGGUGGAAUUUCCUGUGUAGCGGUGAAAUGCGUAGAUAUACGAAGGAACGCCAAAAGCGAAGGCAGCUCUCUGGGUCCCUACCGACGCUGGGGUGCGAAAGCAUGGGGAGCGAACAGG
rnacentral:rRNA from 1 species